UACGUAGGGUGCAAGCGUUUGUCCGGAAUUAUUGGGCGUAAAGAGCUUGUAGGCGGUUUGUCGCGUCUGCUGUGAAAUUUCGGGGCUCAACCCCGAACUUGCAGUGGGUACGGGCAGACUAGAGUGUGGUAGGGGAGACUGGAAUUCCUGGUGUAGCGGUGAAAUGCGCAGAUAUCAGGAGGAACACCGAUGGCGAAGGCAGGUCUCUGGGCCAUAACUGACGCUGAGAAGCGAAAGCGUGGGGAGCGAACAGG
rnacentral:rRNA from 1 species